GUCAAGAACCUUCCACAAUGGGCGAAAGCCUGAUGGAGCGACGCCGCGUGCGGGAUGAAGUCCUUCGGGAUGUAAACCGCUUUUAUUUUCGAGGAACGCAAGUGACUGUAGAAAAUGAAUAAGGGGUUGCUAAACUCGUGCCAGCAGCCGCGGUAAUACGAGUGCCCCGAGCGUUGUCCGGAAUCACUGGGCGUAAAGGGUGCGUAGGGGGCGCUGUUAGUCUUGCUUUAAAUUUUCUCGCUUAACGGGAAAGCUGGGCAGGAAACGGCAGCGCUUAGAGGACGCGAGAGGUCUGCGGAACUCACGGUGUAGGGGUGAAAUCCGUUGAUAUCGUGGGGAACACCAAAUGCGAAGGCAGCAGACUGGUGCGUACCUGACCCUGAGGCACGAAAGCGUGGGGAGCAAAAAGGAUUAGAUACCCCAGUAGUCC
rnacentral:rRNA from 1 species